rnacentral:rRNA from 1 species
UACAAAGGUCUCAAGCGUUGUUCGGAUUCAUUGGGCGUAAAGGGUGCGUAGGCGGCGCGGUAAGUCGGGUGUGAAAUCUCGGAGCUUAACUCCGAAACUGCAUUCGAUACUGCCGUGCUUGAGGACUGGAGAGGAGACUGGAAUUACGGUGUAGCGGUGAAAUGCGUAGAUAUCGUAAGGAAGACCAGUGGCGAAGGCGGGUCUCUGGACAGUUCCUGACGCUGAGGCACGAAGGUCAGGGGAGCAAACGGG